rnacentral:rRNA from 1 species
GGCCUUGACAUACUAAGAACUUUCAGAGAUGGAUUGGUGCCUUCGGGAACUUAGAUACAGGUGCUGCAUGGCUGUCGUCAGCUCGUGUCGUGAGAUGUUGGGUUAAGUCCGCAACGAGCGCAACCCUUUUCCUUAUUUGCCAGCGGGUAAUGCCGGGAACUUUAAGGAUACUGCCAGUGACAAACUGGAGGAAGGCGGGGACGACGUCAAGUCAUCAUGGCCCUUACGGCCAGGGCUACACACGUGCUACAAUGGUCGGUACAAAGGGUUGCUACCUCGCGAGAGGAUGCUAAUCUCAAAAAGCCGAUCGUAGUCCGGAUCGCAGUCUGCAACUCGACUGCGUGAAGUCGGAAUCGCUAGUAAUCGCGGAUCAGAAUGCCGCGGUGAAUACGUUCCCGGGCCUUGUACACACCGCCCGUCACACCAUGGGAGUUUGUUGCACCAGAAGUAGGUAGUCUAACCGCAAGGAGGACGCUUACCACGGUGUGGCCGAUGACUGGGGUGAAGUCGUAACAAGGUAAGCGUAGAUGA